rnacentral:sRNA from 1 species
UUGAAUUUGAACCAAAC